AGUGAACGCUGGCGGCAGGCCUAACACAUGCAAGUCGAGCGGCAGCGCGGGGGCAACCCUGGCGGCGAGCGGCGGACGGGUGAGGAAUUCGUCGGAAUCUGCCUCUUUGUGGGGGAUAACGUAGGGAAACUUACGCUAAUACCGCAUACGUCCUCCGGGAGAAAGUGGGGGACCGCAAGGCCUCACGCAGAAAGAUGAGCCGACGACCGAUUAGCUAGUUGGUGGGGUAAAGGCCCACCAAGGCGACGAUCGGUAGCUGGUCUGAGAGGAUGAUCAGCCACACUGGGACUGAGACACGGCCCAGACUCCUACGGGAGGCAGCAGUGGGGAAUAUUGGAAAAUGUGCGGAAGCCUGCUCCAGCCAUGCCGCGUGGGUGAAGAAGGCCUUCGGGUUGGAAAGCACUUUUGUCGGGAAAGAAAUCCCUGGGGCUAAUACCUUCGGGGGAUGACGGUACCGGAAGAAUAAGCACCGGCUAACUUCGUG
rnacentral:rRNA from 1 species